GAUGAACGCUGGCGGCGUGCCUAAUACAUGCAAGUCGAGCGAACAGACGAGGCGCUUGCUCCUCUGACGUUAGCGGCGGACGGGUGAGUAACACGUGGAUAACCUACCUAUAAGACUGGGAUAACUUCGGGACACCGGAGCUAAUACCGGAUAAUAUAUUGAACCGCAUUGUUCAAUAGUGAAAGACGGUUUUGCUGUCACUUAUAGAUGGAUCCGCGCCGCAUUAGCUAGUUGGUAAGGUAACGGCUUACCAAGGCGACGAUGCGUAGACGACCUGAGAGGGUGGUCGGCCACACUGGAACGGAGACACGGUCCAGACUACUACGGGAGGCAGCAGUAGGGAAUCUUCCGCAAUGGGCGAAAGCCUGACGGAGCAACGCCGCGUGAGUGACGAAGGUCUUCGGAUCGGAAAACUCUGUUAUUAGGGAAGAACAAAUGUGUAAGUAACUAUGCACGUCUUGACGGUACCUGGUCAGAAAGCCACGGCUAACUACGUG
rnacentral:rRNA from 1 species